GACGAAGGUGGCGAGCGUUGUUCGGAAUCACUGGGCAUAAAGCGCACGUAGCUGCGCGGAAAGUUGGGUGUGAAAUCCCUCGGCUCAACCGAGGAACUGCGCCCAAAACUACCGUGCUCGAGGGAGACAGAGGUGAGCGGAACUUAGGGUGGAGCGGUGAAAUGCGUUGAUAUCCUAAGGAACACCCGUGGCGAAAGCGGCUCACUGGGUCUCUUCUGACGCUGAGGCACGAAAGCUAGGGUAGCGAACGGG
rnacentral:rRNA from 1 species